CGAGAACUAACGAGAAAAUGCCAUGGGAUUGGAGGUCUCGUUUCGGUCCGAGACGAAUCGAAAAAAUCCGCUGUUCUUCGGGCCGAUAACCCCGCGAUUGGACGUGGAACGCCCCGUAUACGCUAUGAAAGUUACGCACGCGUUUGCUUCGUUCGCUUCGAACGGUUUUCGGGGGAAUUAAAUACGUACCAGCUACGCCUCAUUACGUAUCGUACUAACAUUGUACACGGUUAAUGUAAUAACAUGCGUGGACAGACCAAGAGGUUUACAUGCAUGCAUACA